AGGAUGGAUCUGGCCCCUGGCUGCAGGGGGGCACCCCUCCACGGGAGAAACCCGGCUCCCGGCCGCAGCCUGCAGCUCUGCAACUUGUGUCUUUCCAUUCCUGCUCCACGGAGAGCUCCUCAAACUGAAACAGUGUUUUUAAACCCCGCCGCUGAAACCACUGCGGGCCACCAAGCCAAGCCUCGGCGCCCACUCCUCCCGGGAGCCCGAGGCCCCCCUGACCUUAGCCACGUCACCCCCACUCGUCAGUACCUGACAGGGCAAGUGCGGCCGCGCAUCUGAACCCACUCCCCCCACCCCAACGGAUGACAAUUCCGAAGACAGCCGGAUUCAACAGUGCGUCUGAACAAAGAAAACGGCGCUGAAGUGCGCUGUACACGCGUGAUGUGCUCCGCAGGGCACCAGCCGCCAGUGGGGACUGCGAGUUCGCUGCUCUCGGCAUCCUCACCCUCACGCUGUCAUCACCACCCGCAUCGGCACCCCGCGUCACGGCCCUCCCCACAGCUGGCCAUCCCCGGUGCCCCAUCGGCCCCGGCCAGCACGGAGCCCAAGGGCCCCGGUCGGGGUCUGGUGCCUCCUAGAGAGCGUCCCAUGAGCCCACCCUCCUGCCUCCUCGGCAGAGGGGCGAGGGAGCCCCCGCGAGCAGGGCGGCUCUCUCCGCCGGGAGCCCGAAUCCCCCAGACCCAGAACAGAGGCCAGAGGUCGCGGGCACCGGAAGCAGAACGUCUUUAGGAUGGGACUCUCCUCCUCGAGUGACCGCUUUUGUUUCAGAACAGUCGGUCUGCAGCCCUUCUUUCUCUGAACCGGCCGCGUCCUCUCCAAGCGGAGCCUGAUCACUCCUGUUGGAGAAACAGCGCGCGCUCCGGGCGGGGGCCGGGUCCCGGAGAAGUGUGGGUGUCGGGGACGCGCCUGCAAGCCCGCCCCGGCCCUCACCGCGCCGGGCUUGCUGCCCGCCCUUGACGUCCCGGAGCAGAGACAGAGGACCCUCCCCGGGUGCACCGUCCUGUGAGAGGCGAAGCUGGACGGGAUGGCAGUGCUCCUGCGAAGCCCCGUGAGACUGCGCAGCACUGCCUCCUGCAUCCGGAGACAAAGCACCUUGCAGGCAUCGAGCUGGAGCGUCACGGCCCACCGUGAACCUGGGGGACUCAGGGUGGAAACCUCAUGCCCACCACGAAGGGGGUUGGGAGGAGGAGGGCAGCCGCCGGCCCGGAGCGCGGGGGCGCGCCAAAGAGACGGUUGCAGUGCGGCCAGACCUCGCGUCUCCCCACGCAGACGAGUGCGCAGCACCGUCGCCUGCAUGUCUGAUUUUCUCGAAUUAGCAGUGAUUUUUUGAUGUUCUGACUUCCUGGUCUUUGUUGCCAAAAACUCCUGUACAUCCUGGCUCCCCACUUGCCUCUCAGGCGCGGUCUCUCAGAUGGACCUGAGAUGCCGUGUCCUGGGCUCAAAGCCUGUUUUGUCCCCCAAAUAAAACAAAGAUCU
rnacentral:lncRNA from 1 species